CCCGGCGACCGGCGCACGGGUGAGUAACACGUAUGCAACCUGGCCGCCACAGGGGGAUGACCCGCGGAAACGCGGCCUAAUACCCCGUGACGCCACCGGAGGGCAUCCUCCGGUGGCCAAAGGAGCGAUCCGGUGGCGGAUGGGCAUGCGGCGCAUUAGCUAGACGGCGGGGUGACGGCCCACCGUGGCGACGAUGCGUAGGGGUUCUGAGAGGAAGGCCCCCCACACUGGGACUGAGACACGGCCCAGACUCCUACGGAAGGCAGCAG
rnacentral:rRNA from 1 species